GGGUGAACUCUCCACCUUGAAAGGUCUUAGACCUUCAUUGUACUUUCAUCAAACUAGUUUGUUUAACUAAUAAAACUAUUUCCCCCAUAUCUCAUGUCCUAUAUUCUUCAAAUUAUCCUAUCUUGUCCCUUGUUCAUCCUCCACAAAAUAUACCAUACACUUGCACACAUCACAAACCAAAAAUUAUAACUAUUACCAAAACCAUGC
rnacentral:lncRNA from 1 species